rnacentral:lncRNA from 1 species
UUGAAUGUGUAUUCUAGGAGCACUGAAUUCUUCUUAUUGGAGAAUUGACUAAAGCACUGCCCUCCCUCUUGGCUAAUUAAGACUUUAAUAUAUUUUUUCGGUUUUGGGCGAGGCUGGUGACUGCUGUUGAGAAAAAAAAUAUUAAGUCAUUUGAGAUUAUAUUCCCCAUUAAUUUUUAUAUAAUACAUACUAGUUUUCAUGUUAUUAGUAUUUUUUAUAUAAAAGUUAGUCAUCAUAAUUUAUAUAGAUAGAUAAUGGUCUGAGACUAUUUAAUGAUAUUUUUUAUUGUUUGGGAUUGGUGCGUGACGGUUGCCAAGGUCAAUUCCAUCUCAUGUGCUGGCCACGGAUGUAACGUAUACAUCUCAAAUCAGUUAUUUGCUAUAUGCGUGGAAUGAGUUUGCUUAAUAUAUGUAGAGUAAGCAACAACGCAAACGUUUUUAAUGUUAUUUUAAAGCCAUUCUAGUAACCUUCAGCAUAGUCGACAUGAUUUUCAUUAAGAAUCUAAAUAAUCAUUGUUGUAGUCUUGUUAUAUUUUAAUUUUGCACUAUUUUCCGAUUAAAACAUAUAUUUUCAGUAAAAAAAAUAAUUUUUCACUAUAAACUAAUUAAAAAUUAUUUUACUUGUAAUUUUUAAAAUAAAUAUUAAAAAAAAUCAAUUAUCUUAAUACACAUAAUAAUUUAUGAUGAAAAUAAUGAAACUCAUCCUAAUAAAAGUAAAAUAUUUCACACUAUUGAAAUUUAUCAUUGUUCUUUCUCAAAGUAACAAUAGGGAUAUAAUAUAUAUGUGAAAUAUAUAAAUUUAAAAUAAAAUAGUAAAUAUAAAUUUAUAAUUAUUUACGUUAAAAUUUAUUAAACCCUUACUUUGCACAAGUUUAUUUAAAUAUAAGCAUAUUAAAAAAUAAAGUUGCUAUCAUGUUAUAAUUUAUUAUAAACAAUUUAUUGGAAAUAGAGUUUUUAUGUAUUAUGUGUAUUUUUAAAAAAAAUUCAAGCAUGUUGAUUAUCAAUUUUUUUCAUGAGGUUAUCAUUAAAAAUGAAAUAUAUAAAAUAUUAUAAUUUACUAAAGUAUUUUAUCAAAUAUUUCCUUAUAAACUAUAUAUUUUAUGUUUUUUUAAUGAGUCUAAAUUUAUAGCACAUAAUCAUGAUUAUUCUGAAAGAAAAAAAAAAUCAUAAUGAUAAUGUGAGUAAUAUCACUCUUACAUAAUUUCCGCUCAUAUAAUUAAAUAUGAAGCAAGGGAAAGAAAAAGCAUGCAUGAUAAAACAUUUUCUUUUAUUUUUAAGUCUCUUUUUUUAUAUAAAAAGUAUAAAUUAAAAAAGAAUUUAAAAAUAAUAAAUAUGGAUAUAUAAUACAAUAUAACUAUUAAAUUUGACUAUUUAUUUUAUCUAUUGUUGAUAUAAUGUUAACGGGUACUAAUUUUUAAAUGCAUUUAUUAUAAAAACUAUUUUAAAUUAGUUGAAAUAGUGUAAUUGUUAUUACAUAGAUAUAGUUGCUAAUUAUUUUAAAAUAAUAUUUUUAAUAAUUUUAAAGAUAUUAAUUUUAAUUAUAUGAUAUUAUUAAAGAUUUAAAUUAACUAACCUCCUCACAUCAUAAAUUAAACACUCUUUAAUAAAAUUAAAAUUAUAUAACUUUAUUAUUAUCAUUUUUGUUAUUUAGAGAAAUGAUCAACAGUAAAACAAUAACGAUGGGUGUUGUAGUAGCUAUAUUAUCUCUUAUUUUAUUAGUUUUUUCUAUUUCUAUUUAAUAAAAAUAUUUUUUUUUAUCAAAUCAAUUUUCCAAAUUCUUUUUUGCAAUACACCUGGUUACAUAUUAUAAUUAUCAUCAUUAUCAUGUAAAGAUAAAGAUAAUAAUAAUAAUAAUAAUAAUAAUAAUAAUAAUAAUAAUAAUAAUAAUAAUAAUAAUAAUAAUAAUAAUAAUAAUAAUAAUAAUAAUAAUAAUAAAUAUAUUAUAAAUCUUUGAAUAAAUUAUAUAAAUAGACUUUAAAAUAUAUAUAUAUAUAUAUAUAUAUAUAUAUAUAUAUAUAUAUAAAUAGAUAUUUUAGCAUGUUAUAUUUAUUAGUUGUAUCCAAAAAUGUGAAUAAAUUGUAGGAUAAAAUGUAAUUUUUGUUCCUUUAUUUUUUAAAAUUUGUAUUUUUAGUUUCCUUAUUUUUUAUCUUCAUUUUUAAAAAGUUCACAAUUUGAGUCCUUCAUUUUUUAAUAGAGUCAUUUGGUCCCUUGGUUUAAAAAAAAUGUAAUUUUACUCUUUGUAGUCAAUUUUAAACAUUAGUCUAUGCACUCUAAUUGACACAUGUUUGUUUAUUAUUCACAUGACAAAUAUUUUUUAAAAUCAUUUAAUUUCUAACAAGCUUAAUUAAUUAAAAAAAAGAAUUUAAAAAAUACACAAUCAACAAGUCUUAAAUUAACCAAGGGUAUUAAAAUUGGAGUUUUUUUUAAAUAGGAGACGAAAUAUCUCAAUUUAAAAAUAUGAAGACUAAAAUCACAUAUUUUUUAAUAAAAUAAUAAACAAAAUUUCUCAAUCAAAAAAUAAGAUGACUACAGUUGUAGAUUUGAAAAUUAUGAGAACAAAAAUUAAAUAUUAGCCUAAAUUGUAAAAUAAAUAUCAUUGAUUUGAGCCAUUUAAUCCUCCAAUAAUAUUAUAUCAAAUUAAUUCAAAUCAAUCAGUCAUUAUUAAUUUUAAAGUUUAGUUUUUGAUCGACAGUGAAGUUUCAUGUUUUAGAUUGUUUUCUCAAAUCAACGGAUGAAAAAAAAUCAAGAAAAUUAAGGAAUGAAGAUAUAGAAGCAAACUAUAAUCUCAUUUUAUAAUUAGAUUUGGAAUUUAAGGCCAACAAGUUGAAAACCCACCAUAUUAUUUCAACCACUCAUUUGAUCCCACUCAUUCUGAAUUUAAUUAGCUUGAAAUUAAGAUAAAAAUAAAUAAGAAUAAAAGAAAUCCAAGCUUUGCGUAGCAAGCUUGGUCAUUUGGGAAUGCACACACCAAAAUUUAUCAAUAUUGCCUCAAAUUAUCCUUUUCCAUUUUUUUUAUUGGAUCAAAUGUGGUGUUCAUUUGUUAGCCAAGUGUCUUACUAGCUCUUCUCUGUGGAAGAAAAUUUUCUAACUAUUUUGAUUUUUAUUUAUAGUCUGAAGUAAUUUGAUUUGCAAUUGAGAAAAUCAUAUUGUUGAUAAACUAACUUUUAUGUCAAUAAUUUUAUCUAUCACUAAAUAUGAAAUGUAUGUUUCCCUUGUGAAAAAGAGUGGAGAAAACAUAAAUAUUUGAAUAAAGAUGUGUAUAUUGAAAUUCUCUUAUUUAAGUGGAUACAUAAUGCAAGAUCCCAACAUGAUAUAUGAGAAUCUUUUACCACUAAAUUGAGAUGCUGAAUUUUAAAAUUACAAUAAUUCUUGAUAAACAAUUAUAAUUCAUUGGUACAAACCAAUUCAUAUUGGCUUAUAACAUCAUAUAUUUAGGGGGUUGGGAUGAGCAUGUGGGUCAUUAUAGUCUAUAUUUCCAUGUAGUCCCUGGACGUUGGGUGGAGGAGGAUUUGGGUGCGUGUGUGGAUCAUGAUAGUUUAUAUCAGUUGGUAUCUCCUCAAGAUUUGGUGGAGGAUGAUUUUGGUGUCUGUGUGGGCCAUGAUAGUCUAUAUAAGCUGGUAUCUCCUCAAAAUUUGGUGGAGGAGGAUUUGGGUGCAUGUAUGGACCAUGAUAGUCUAUAUCAGCUAGUAUCUCCUGAAGAUUUGGUGGAGGAGGUUUCGAUGCGUGUGUGGAUCAUGAUAGUCUAUAUGAGCUAGUAGCUCCUCAAGAUUUGGUGGAGGAGGGUUUGGGUGCGUGUGUGGACCAUUAUAGUCGAUAUUGGCUAGUAUCUCCUCAAGAUUUGGUGGAAGAGGAUUUGGGUGCGUGUGUAGGCCAUGAUAGUAUAUAUCAACUAAUAUCUCCUCAAGAUUUGGUGGAGGAUGAUUUGGGUGUGUAUGGACCAUGAUAGUCUAUAUAAACUAGUAUCUCUUUAAGAUUUGAUGGAGGAGAAUUUGGAUAUAUGUGUGGAUCUAAAUUCUCUGUAAAUCCAAACAUGAAAGAUGACGUCAUUUCUUAAACAACCAAAAUAGAGUUAAUAUGAUUAUUACUUAAAUUAGAAUAAAACAUUCAAAUCAUCUUGGUGCUGUAAAUUGAAAAUUUAAAGAUUCAAUUUUGAUUUUGUUACAAAGAUUAUACAUAAUAUUAAUCAAUCAUAUGUUGCAUAUAAUCUAAAAGAUAAUUAUUCUAUAGCUUCAUAUUUCUUAGUAAUUAAAAAAGAUAAGUAUUUUCCCAAUACUUACCCAUGAAGGAAGACUUAACAUGUGCUGGAACCUGGUCUGGGGGAGAUGGGUUCUUGUGUAGCUAUUCAAAGUCUCUUGGUUCUUUUAGAUCUAUACGCAUAUAAAAUUUAUCGAGGAGAGUUAACAAUUCUCACAAAAAAUCUAAAAGGCAAUAAUAUAUUGUAUAAGAUAAAGACAACCAUUAUGAAAUCUUGAAAUCUCAAAAGGACUAUAAUUCUGCAUAUGUAUACCUGAGGGGAUGCCACGAGCAAAGCAAGCCACAACAAAAGCAAAACAGAAACACGUACAUAAAAAACCUGAAGAAGCCAUC